rnacentral:rRNA from 1 species
AACGAACGCUGGCGGCAUGCCUAACACAUGCAAGUCGAACGAAGCCUUCGGGCUUAGUGGCGCACGGGUGCGUAACGCGUGGGAAUCUGCCCUUGGGUUCGGAAUAACAGUUAGAAAUGACUGCUAAUACCGGAUGAUGUCUUCGGACCAAAGUUUUAUCGCCCAAGGAUGAGCCCGCGUAGGAUUAGGUAGUUGGUGGGGUAAUGGCCCACCAAGCCGACGAUCCUUAGCUGGUCCGAGAGGAUGAGCAGCCACACUGGGACUGAGACACGGCCCAGACUCCUACGGGAGGCAGCAGUGGGGAAUAUUGGACAAUGGGCGAAAGCCUGAUCCAGCAAUGCCGCGUGAGUGAUGAAGGCCUUAGGGUUGUAAAGCUCUUUUACCAGGGAUGAUAAUGACAGUACCUGGAGAAUAAGCUCCGGCUAACUCCGUGCCAGCCGCCGCAGUAAAAC